UCCUUGGGUCCACCCCUCUCUCUCCUUCCUUGGGUCCACCCCUCUCUCUCCUUCCUUGGGUCCACCCCUCUCUCUCCUUCCUUGGGUCCACCCCUCUCUCUCCUUCCUUGGGUCCACCCCUCUCUCCUUCCUUGGGUCCACCCCUCUCUCUCCUUCCUUGGGUCCACCCCUCUCUCUCCUUCCUUGGGUCCACCCCUCUCUCUCCUUCCUUGGGUCCACCCCUCUCUCUCCUUCCUUGGGUCCACCCCUCUCUCUCCUCUCCUUCCUUGCCCCCCCAUCUCUCUUUCCUCUCCUUCCUUGGGUCCCUCUCUCCUCUCCUUCCUUGGGUCCCCCUCCUCUCUCAUUAUUUCCUCUCCUUCCUCUGGUUUUCUAUACACUUGCUUGUCAGAGCAUAGCAUGCCUCCUUUUCAUCCACACUGGUGACAGUUUUGUAUCAUUUAAAAAAAAAAAUAUAUAUAUAUAUAUAUAUAGUAUAUAUAUAUAUAUACUAAAUAUUUACUAUAAAAUAGUGUGUAAUGGCAUCACUGAUUGGUUGGUUGUAUUUUCUCUAGUCUUGGUUCAGAGUCAGAUAACUUGUUUUUAAAAUCAGGCAAGUCUUUUUUCAUAGCUGACAGUCUGUUUAUAGUGUGGCGUUUGCUGUAUCAGGCGGAGUGAUUCUAACCUGUUACUCCUUCCCUCUCUGUUGGUUUUGGGAUCUGUCUCAAGGGGGGCUGUGAUUGGAGGAGGGCUCUCUGUCUCCCCAUCCCGGAGCCAAUCAGACCAUCAGGAUCAGAGCAGGAUUCAGGAUUAGGAUUAAUGAUGGAGAGAAAGGAAACCCGGAUCGGGACCCCGGCCCCAGUCCACUGGAACCUAUAAACUAGACCUUACUCAAUUGGCUCUAAAACACACUAAAUUCAGUUUUUAGUAUUUUUUUCCCAUGUGGAACCUCCAGCACCCGUCUGGGAUCCAGUAGUUUUUUGGGUUUAAAAGAGGAGCUCAAAGCUGGGAGCAAAACCAGGAGUCUCAGGAUGGAGGCGCGCGCGUAAGGAGAGCGGUAACUAGAGUCUGGGAGGAGGGAUCGAGGUGGUGGGG
ensembl:lncRNA